rnacentral:rRNA from 1 species
UACGUAGGGUGCGAGCGUUGUCCGGAAUUAUUGGGCGUAAAGAGCUCGUAGGCGGCCUGUCGCGUCGGAUGUGAAAGCCCGGGGCUUAACUCCGGGUCUGCAUUCGAUACGGGCAGGCUAGAGUUCGGUAGGGGAGAUCGGAAUUCCUGGUGUAGCGGUGAAAUGCGCAGAUAUCAGGAGGAACACCGGUGGCGAAGGCGGAUCUCUGGGCCGAUACUGACGCUGAGGAGCGAAAGCGUGGGGAGCGAACAGG